rnacentral:rRNA from 1 species
GAUGAACGCUAGCGGCAGGCCUAACACAUGCAAGUCGAGGGGGAGGUUACUUUCGGGUAACUGAGACCGGCGUACGGGUGCGUAACGCGUAUACANUCUGCCUUUCACUGGGGGAUAGCCCGAGGAAAUUUGGAUUAAUACCCCAUAGUAUAGUAGUGUGGCAUCACACAACUAUUAAAGCCUUGGUGGUGAAAGAUGAGUAUGCGUUCUAUUAGCUAGUUGGAGAGGUAACGGCUCCCCAAGGCGAUGAUAGAUAGGGGUUCUGAGAGGGAUGUCCCCCACACUGGUACUGAGAUACGGACCAGACUCCUACGGGAGGCAGCAGUGAGGAAUAUUGGACAAUGGUCGGAAGGCUGAUCCAGCCAUGCCGCGUGCAGGAUGAAGGUCUUAUGGAUUGUAAACUGCUUUUGUAAGGGAAGAAUAAGGACUACGUGUAGUUUGAUGACGGUACCUUAUGAAUAAGCAUCGGCUAACUCCGUGCCAGCAGCCGCGGUAAUACGGAGGAUGCGAGCGUUAUCCGGAAUCAUUGGGUUUAAAGGGUCUGUAGGCGGGCUGGUAAGUCAGAGGUGAAAGCGCUCAGCUCAACUGAGCAACUGCCUUUGAAACUGUUGGUCUUGAAUGGUUGUGAAGUAGUUGGAAUGUGUAGUGUAGCGGUGAAAUGCUUAGAUAUUACACAGAACACCGAUAGCGAAGGCAUAUUACUAACAAUUGAUUGACGCUGAUGGACGAAAGCGUNNNGAGCGAACAGG